CCUACGGGAGGCAGCAGUGAGGAAUAUUGGUCAAUGGCCGGAAGGCUGAACCAGCCAUGCCGCGUGAAGGUCAGUGCUCUUUGGGCGUUAAACUUCUUUUGUGCGGGAGCAAUAAUGGUCACGUUUGGCCACACGAGAGUACCGUACGAAUAAGCAUCGGCUCACUCCGUGUCAGUAGCCGCGGUAAUACGGGGGAUGCAAGUGUUAUCCGGAAUUAGUGGGUUUAAAGGGUGCGUAGGCUGUGAGGUAAGUCAGCGGUGAAAUGCCCCCGCUCAACGGGGUGAAGUGCCAUUGAUACUGCCUAGCUGGAAUGCGGAUGCCGUGGGAGGAAUGUGUGGUGUAGCAGUGAAAUGCGUAGAUAUC
rnacentral:rRNA from 1 species